UUUGUAGAGGAUGUUUCGAGCAUGGUCUGGCCUAAGUUCCUUGGAACAGGACGUCAUAGAGGGUGAGAAUCCCGUAUGCGGUCAGGUGCCUACGCUCAUGUGAAACUCCUUCGACGAGUCGAGUUGUUUGGGAAUGCAGCUCAAAAUGGGAGGUAAAUUUCUUCUAAAGCUAAAUAUUGGCCAGAGACCGAUAGCGCACAAGUAGAGUGAUCGAAAGAUGAAAAGCACUUUGGAAAGAGAGUUAAACAGUACGUGAAAUUGUUGAAAGGGAAGCGCUUGCAACCAGACUUGCACGCAGCUGAUCAUCCGGGCUUCUGCCCGGUGCACUCGGUUGUGUUCAGGCCAGCAUCAGUUUUGGGGGUGGGAUAAAGGCCCUAGGAAUGUAGCUCCUCUCGGGGAGUGUUAUAGCCUAGGGUGCAAUGCCACCACCCGGGACUGAGGACCGCGCUUCGGCUAGGAUGCUGGCGUAAUGGUUGUAAGCGACCCGUCU
rnacentral:rRNA from 1 species